rnacentral:rRNA from 1 species
CACGUAGGGCGCAAGCGUUGUCCGGAAUUAUUGGGCGUAAAGAGCUCGUAGGCGGUCUGUUGCGUCCGAUGUGAAAACUCGGGGCUUAACCCCGAGCCUGCAGUGGAUACGGGCAGACUAGAGGUAGGUAGGGGAGAAUGGAAUUCCCGGUGUAGCGGUGAAAUGCGCAGAUAUCGGGAGGAACACCGGUGGCGAAGGCGGUUCUCUGGGCCUUACCUGACGCUGAGGUGCGAAAGCGUGGGGAGCAAACAGG